GACGAACGCUGGCGGCGUGCCUAAUACAUGCAAGUCGAGCGCAGGAAAUCGACGGAACCCUUCGGGGGGAAGUCGACGGAAUGAGCGGCGGACGGGUGAGUAACACGUAAAGAACCUGCCCUCAGGUCUGGGAUAACCACGAGAAAUCGGGGCUAAUACCGGAUGGGUCAUCGGACCGCGUGGUCCGAGGAUGAAAGGCGCUCCGGCGUCGCCUGGGGAUGGCUUUGCGGUGCAUUAGCUAGUUGGAGGGGUAAGGGCCCACCAAGGCGACGAUGCAUAGCCGACCUGAGAGGGUGAUCGGCCACACUGGGACUGAGACACGGCCCAGACUCCUACGGGAGGCAGCAGUAGGGAAUCUUCCACAAUGGACGAAAGUCUGAUGGAGCAACGCCGCGUGAACGAUGAAGGCCUUCGGGUCGUAAAGUUCUGUUGUAAGGGAAGAACAAGUGCCGCAGGCAAUGGCGGCACCUUGACGGUACCUUGCGAGAAAGCCACGGCUAACUACGUGCCAGCCGCCGCCGUAAGAC
rnacentral:rRNA from 1 species